rnacentral:rRNA from 1 species
CGUGUAGGCGGUUUGUUUAGUCUGAUGUGAAAGCCCCGGGCUCAACCUGGGAAGUGCAUUGGAUACUGGCAGACUUGAGUACGGGAGAGGGUAGUGGAAUUCCUAGUGUAGGAGUGAAAUCCGUAGAUAUUAGGAGGAACACCGGUGGCGAAGGCGGCUGCCUGGACCGAUACUGACGCUGAGACGCGAAAGCGUGGGGAGCAAACA